rnacentral:rRNA from 1 species
GAUGAACGCUGGCGGCGUGCCUAAUACAUGCAAGUCGAACGGUAAGGCCCUUCGGGGUACACGAGUGGCGAACGGGUGAGUAACACGUGGGUGAUCUGCCCUGCACUUCGGGAUAAGCCUGGGAAACUGGGUCUAAUACCGGAUAGGACCACUGCCUGCAUGGGUGGUGGUGGAAAGCUUUUGCGGUGUGGGAUGGGCCCGCGGCCUAUCAGCUUGUUGGUGGGGUGAUGGCCUACCAAGGCGACGACGGGUAGCCGGCCUGAGAGGGUGACCGGCCACACUGGGACUGAGAUACGCCCCAGACUCCUACGGGAGGCAGCAGUGGGGAAUAUUGCACAAUGGGCGCAAGCCUGAUGCAGCGACGCCGCGUGAGGGAUGACGGCCUUCGGGUUGUAAACCUCUUUCAGCACCGACGAAGCGCAAGUGACGGUAGGUGCAGAAGAAGGACCGGCCAACUACGUGCCAGCCGCCGCAGUAA